GCGCCCAUGGCUCAGCGGAUAGAGCACGUGGCUUCGGACCACGAGGUCGGGGGUUCGAAUCCCUCUGGGCGCGCCA
rnacentral:tRNA from 1 species